CACGCCCUAAACGAUGUCUACUAGUUGUCGGGUCUUAAUUGACUUGGUAACGCAGCUAACGCGUGAAGUAGACCGCCUGGGGAGUACGGUCGCAAGAUUAAAACUCAAAGGAAUUGACGGGGACCCGCACAAGCGGUGGAUGAUGUGGAUUAAUUCGAUGCAACGCGAAAAACCUUACCUACCCUUGACAUGGCUGGAAUCCCCGAGAGAUUGGGGAGUGCUCGAAAGAGAACCAGUACACAGGUGC
rnacentral:rRNA from 1 species